UUGAACUUCACUUGAAUCAGUGCUGCCUUGGCCCUGCUCCGGUUGAUGUAAGUCCAUGGCUUUCUAGGAUGCAUGAGGUUUCCUGUUGCCUGCGGUUGGUCUUCAUGUGAACCAUCUAUGGACUCCAGAGGCUUACUUCCAUGUCUGUGACCAGCGUCUUCCCUUUGGUUCCAUUGCCCAUCGCAUCAGUGUCAUGCCAGCUACUGUGAUUUUAUAUGGAAAGAUAAGGAAUCUCAGCAAAAGUCACUCCUUGUGCUUAUGUUGUUCCUAGGGAUAUUGGAGGGCUAACUGCUAUCUUGACUGAUGUAAUCCAGACUUAGGAAGAUUUGUUGCCCUAACAUCAAAAGAUAAAAAUGAACAGUGAAGGAAGCCAUGUAUAGAUACUUAAGGACGUUGAACUGCUUUCUUAAAAACUGGUGCUGUUGGUGCUGAGAGAGUGAGAAGCAUCACACACUGAGUCACCUUUCAGACAUCUUAUUCCAUAUGGACACAGCGCUCUGGAUAUGCCAACCUUGAGUACAUAGUAGAAAGUCAGCAGUCUGCAACCUAGACUGUGGCUCUCACCAAACCUAGUACUGUGAACACCCUGACCUUGGACUCUACAACCUCCAGAACUAUGAGGUUUUCAAUUUUGAAUACAUACCAAUUCAGUAAAAAGCAACUAUAAAAUUCAAAAAAGAUAAAAAAGGAUCCCGAGCCUUUAAUCAACAACUUCAAAUACGCUAGAACCCAUGCCGUGGGAUGUAAAUGGCAGCCCUAUUCAUUAAGCUUAUCACUGAAUGUCAUUGAGAAAGCACAAUGAAUGCUAAGCUAAAUGAUGUGUUUCUUAAUUGUGGAGUAACGCUUGCUAGUGCCAAAUGCUUCUACCACUCACAUUGGAAAAUCAUUUUCUAAUUUUUUUUUCUGGGGCAGAGGAGAAAUGAGCCUGCAUUUCCAGUGGUCACCACACUGAUUACAGUGAAGCAUAGAGACACUGCGUUGUACCAACUGAAUGAAAGCACAUUGCGUUUCAGAACAUCAAGGAUCUGGAGAACAAUUAGGAGCAAUGAUCACUUCUUCAGAGGACUGAGUCUGGUUUCCUGCACCUAUGUAGGGUGACUUACAGUCACCUAUAAAUAGACUUCCAGGGGGCAUCUGGAGACUUUGACAUCCACAGACACUUGCAUUCAUGUGUACAUGCCCACAUGUGCACACACAUGAUUAUGGUUGAAAAUAAUAAAAACAAAGCUGUUAAGGGGCUGGAGAGAUGGCUGAGCAGUUAAAGGCAAUCGUUAUUCUUGAGGAGUACCUGGGUUUGGUUCCCAGCCAGCUUAAAACCAUCAGUAACUCCAGUUCCAGGGGAUAUGGUGCCUUCUUCUCAUCUCCAAAGGCACCAGUUAUGCAUGAGCAAUACAGGCAUACAUACAGGCAAAACACUCAUAUGCAUAAAAUUAAAGUAAAAGUAUAAAAAUACUAUUAAGACCAUCAAGUAUCUGGAAGAAAGAACAUGAAUGACUUUCAGUGACAAAUGAAUUCAGUCUUUGGUCAAAGAGUUCUUAAUAUGUUUCAAUAAGGAGAGAAUGUUAUGUUUAAACUCUAGAAAGGCAUGGAACAGCUGUGGUUCCCAUGCAAACCUGGGUGAUUAUUGACUGAGCUGUAGCAGGACUAUGGAAAAGCAACCCAGACUCUAAGGCGCCUUUAAUCAAGCCAACAGACGAAGGUUACAGCUUAUGUGCAAUUCCUAUAUUCUGUAGCGUUGCUCUUUUGUUCCUAAUUCAUGUCUUACCCUUCCUUGGGUAUUUGGGGACUUAAAUCUCUCUGAGUCUGUUGUGUCCUCUGUUUCUUACUCUUACUUCUUUAGUCCAUGCCUAUUCUUCUCAGUAAUUCAAUCUAAAUGUAAUCUCUCCUUUGUAUUGUUGUAUUUUUGUGUCCUUUACUCGGUUAAAGAAAAGAAAUGAAGACACACACACACACACACACCUGCAAAGAGUGGACUGAAGCCCGAUAUAAUAUCUGAUAAGAAUUUAAAUAUACUAAAUACCUAAAUAUCAGAAUGAAUAGUUUAAAAAUACUUAGAAAACACUUGGAAAAGUAUGAUAACACUGACAUUUUUGUGUCAUAAUUUCUUGGGUAUGACUUCAAUAUCUCAGUCAACAAAAGAAGCAAUACAUAAAAUGAGUUUCAUUUAUAUUAAAGGCUUUUUAUUCAUCAGAGGACACUAUCAAGAGCUUAAAAAGGGAACCUCAGAAUGGGAGAUCACAUUUGUGAAGCAAAUACUUGACAAGGGAUUAGU